AGUAUAUCUCAAAUUAAACUUUUGAUAAUAACUAUAAUUUUAAGAGAAUAACUCUUUUGUGUUAAUUGUUUUCUCCUACUCAGAGUGAGUGCAAAAAAGUCUUCCUAAAUGAUGUCUAAUAAAGUAAUAAUUCUUUAUUUGUGAUCCUGCCAGUUAAAAGCUCUUUGACACUUGAACAGUGUUGGCUUCUACCCCCUGCAGGAUGCAAGGGAAGUCUCCCCUCAUAAAACCUCUGUGCUGAGGCUUGUUCCCUCUGUGAUUUAUACCCCUAGAUCAGCUGUGCGAGUGCCACAUUUUUGCAGCUGUCCCCAGAUGUUUACACUCACGAUGGAUGACUGACAGUGAAAGCUUGUCAUUGCGGCUGUGUUGUGACCCUGGCUGUUGACGGGAACGUCUGUGUAUGAAGACACAGCCAACGUGAAAGGAAACGAAAAACAACAAUGGCAACAAUGAGUAACAGACUGACCCUUUUGCUGAAUCAGUCCUAUUGGCUCCUCUGUUUGAGCACAACUCCCACAAGUAAGAAUGAACCUGUUUGUCUUUCCUGGGAUCGGUAAACAUCCUCAACACAAACAGAAGAAAGUCACACCACCAGGGCAGCUGCACUCUCACUGUAUGUGUCUUUUGAUGUCUGUAGGAGGGAACUGAUAAUGAAGGUUCUUACGUCUUAAUUCUUUUAAUUGUCUUUGUCGUUGGGCCAUGAACAGGAAUUAGACAUAACUGAAAUCUUAAUAUAAAGAUUUUAUUUUAUUUUGUUUAUACAUUUUCCAAACUUCUUGUCAUGAUCAAAUGGUCAAUCCACCACAGAUUUGAAUUGAUUUAUUUAUUUGAUUCAUCCAUCCAUUCAUUUCCCAGUCCACUUGUCCUGGAUGAAUAUUUAUUUUAUUUUAUUUUAUUUUCAGACUGCAUGUCCUGGAUGAAUGAUCAUUCCAUUUGAUUUAAUUUGUUCUUGUUGUUAUUAUUAUUAUAUUUUAUUGUGUUUUAUUCAUCCAUUCAUUUCCAGGCUGCUUGUCCUGUAUGGAUGACCAGUCCAUUCAUUUAUUUAUUUUUAUUUUUAUUUGAUUUAAUUUUACUUUAUUUUAUCCAUUAAUUUCCAGACUGAUUGUCCUGGAUGGAUGACCAUUUCAUUUGAUUUUAUUUGAUUUUUUUAAAUUAUAUUUAAUCGUAUUUUAUUCAUCCAUUCAUUUCCAGACUGCUUGUCGUUCAUGGAUGACCAGUUUAUUUUAUUUUAUUGAUUUGAUUUGACUCAACCGAUGGCCAGUCCUUAGUUGAUUUUACUGUCAUUUCAAACGUUUUUAUUAAUACAAAGCAUGUUUUUUUUAUAGUUUUACAUGUGUGGAUUGCAAAAGUGCAUUGUCAUCAAAGGAGAAAUGUCUUUGCUAGAUUAUUUAAUUAUCACUGAUGUUAUUUGUGUGAAUGACCUCUCUUUCCUGUCACAAUAUAAUGAGUGCCAGCCUAUACACCCUAUACACAUAAUUACCUAUACACAUAUGUACUCACAGAUAUAUAUCCACUGUAACAUCCUGCAUCCUUCUCUUAACAUGCACACUUACAGACCUAGUGCAGGUGCAGUGAAUAUUACAGCUCUGUUGCUAGGAGGACCAAUCAAAGCACAUUAACUCCACAGGCAGCUCCCCACAUCUUAUUCAACACCUACCCCCCUCGUCCCUCAGCCAGACAGUUAGGCAUCUGUUUCAGGCUGCAGCUUGCACCCCCAGCCUUCAGGCUCUGUCUGGCAUCCACAUGCAGGCCCUAAAUCAGUGCCUAGGGAGCACACAGACACAGCCCACCCCCGCUACACCUUAGUUUGACAUUUGAGUGUCACUUUAACAAUCUUCAGCCAUCAAAUUAGACAAAUGUAUUUAAAAUCUUUGAUUCAGUGUUUUGGUGAAGCAUGCUCUUACUAUUCCUUUAAGUUCUGGGAAAGUUUAUUUAGCUAAAAAGGAAGUUAGAUUAUUUCCAUUAGGGAAAUGGAAACAUGAUCUCCAAUGUUUUAAGUCAUAAAUAAUGCUCUCUACUCAUCCAUAACAUAUCUAAUAUAAAUCUAAAGUACUUUGCUCAGUGAGGCAAGUGUGCUGUGUUAACUUUUCACUCCACUUCACUCCAAAGCGAAAUGGCUAAUUGCCCAUCUGCCAUUCCUCUUGUAGCUAUCUGGCUCUCCUUGCAGACAUCACCUCUGGGGCUGUGUUUGCUUGUUUGUACCUGUCAUGUGGGCCUGCUUGUCCACCCAGCAUGCCACUUGGUUACAUCUUAUCAGUUUCUUAAAGAUCAAAGAACCAUGGUGAUCUUUAUCAGCCUAUAUACCUCCCCUCCUUCUUCACUCAACCUCCAUCAAAGUACCAAAACUGUGUAUACCAUGCCUUUAAGCACUUUAGCCUUUCCUCUUCUUAUCAACAGAGAAGGGGUUUCAUUCUUCACAGUCCAAUAAGGCCUUGGAACAUGAGAAAGAGACCAGACUGACCUGUGUCUUCACAGUUACAUAGAAGAGCCCAUUAGGGUUAACGGGGGGGUUAAUUCAACAUUGUAAAUAUGAGCACGUUGUGUAAACUCUCAGUCACUCUGUGAAGUGAUUUAUGUAAUUUAUUGUUUAUUAUGCUAUACAUUUUUUAUCUUUAUCCUUAGCUGAUUUUCAGUCAAUCUUGUAUAAUUUUUCCUACCAUUAAAAUGUCAGCUGAAUAGAGCUAAUACACCCCCACCACCGGUAGGUCCUUAAGUGUAUUUCAAAGUCAGCCUAACUGAACAUCUAUGCAUUUAUGGAUGUGCAGACAGCACAGACGGUCUAGGGUUAAGUUACCAAAGUCACGACCUUGUCCUGACCUGGGUUAAGGAAGUGGUCAUGCAGCUGUGGACAAAGCUGUGGAGGAGAGAGACUGAGAGGCCAGGCAGUCGUGCCUGAACAAUAGCCACCGCACAUUCAGCCUGGGAGUUACACAAAGGCCAGAGCUGCCCCCUUCACCCUAGUCACACCUCACCAUAGAGCUGGCAUUUCACACUCCUCUGUGAACAGCCAUUCAAUCAAACUACUGUUUAACUUGUUAUUUUGCAUCUAGCUUUUUAAAACUGCAACAUCAUCUGUGUUUAAU